ACUUGGGCCGCUGCUGCCUCUUCCACCCAGCAGGACGAGCACGAGGCCUUUCUGAAUCUGAUGUAAGUGAGGUGGAGAUGAGAUGGGGACAGAAGAUCCUGCAGCGAUGUUGUUUCUUUUUUUGCCUGCUCAAGGUUAGAUGGAUGAGCCCGCCCUAUGUUCUAAUGAGUUCAUCUACGAGGGUGUUGUUCCUUUUUCAUCCGCUGAAGAUCUGAGGAUGAAGAGAAGAAGAAUUUAUCUAAAAGGGUGAAGAAGAUCAAGGUGAUUUUCCUCCCUCUUUUGAACAUUUGUUCUUGCAUUUUGAUGUUAUAAUUUGUGAUGAUUUGUGUGCACUUAUAAGAUAUUUGCUGCUAGGUACAAAGUUUAUAGUUACUGGAAUUGGAUAAAAGAGACUUGUAGGUUCAAUUUUCAAUUACAGUAGUUCAUGUGUUAUGUUUGCUGCAAUGCGUCACUUGUGCGAGAGUGAUCGAGCGAGAGAGAGAAUCGAGAAGUUGAUCAUGAUGGACAUGUUGGUAGACAUGGUGAACAUGUGGCUGCAGUUGGAGAGUGCUCGUUGGAUAUCAGGAGUAGUAUCUUCUUACAAUAGAGGUACCAGCCAUGUUAUACUUUCAGUGUGUUUUUUGGUUCCAUUUACAUGUGAUUAGAGUGAGCUGCACUGGAUCCACAUACUUUCUCCAGCUCCCUUGGAAGCUAAUGUAUUUGCCCCCUCCCCGCCCCCCCCCCCCCCCCCCCCCCUUAUGUACACCAAGAGAUAAACUGUCAUUUUGUAGUAUGCUUUCUUAUGCUUGAGUGACUCAAUAGAUAUUAGGUUUGAGCUGCUAAUUUUCAAAUUUUAAAGUAUAAGAGAGUGACAGACAAGAUAAAAUGUGAUCUUGCAUUGUCUACUACUCUAUUGAUGUGGCUCUUGGUUUCUGAAGCUCCCAGGAUUUGAUAAUAAGUUGUCUUGGGAUUCAUUGGACAAAUGAUCUACCUGGAGCAAUGAUACAGGUAAGCUUUCUUAAGUCAAACAAGAUUAGGUUAUCAAGCGCUAAAACAUCUGAACUAUGGUAAUUGGAAGUGUAGGUUGGUGUUGAAGCCUGAUGGCAUUUUUCUUGCAGUAAAUCUUGGCGGGGAGACUCUUGUGUGGUUUAAAUUUGAUUUUCCUUUGGAUUUCUUCUCAUGUCAGUAUCCAUAUUUUGGUCAUAAGCUAGACUAGAAUGGAUGCUGCAAAGGUUGAAUUGUUUGGUAGAGGGUUGCAUAGGUGGUAGAGACUUGGUCGAUCAAAGGAACCAAUUAGUACCGCAGAAUAGGCAAAGGAUGGAUUUCUAUAGGAAGUAAGGGAAUCAACCAUGUCCAAUCAACAUCAUAUGAUCAUGUUUGGGUGUCGUUAAGGAGAGAGACAACUGAAUUGCAGAUUAAAUAAGGAUGUAAUAAUCAAUAGCUCUGCUCCUUGCAAGUAUGUUCGGUUGUAGAUUGUGCAGAUCGAGUUGUUCCCUGCCAAGGGCUGCUGAAAAAGAGGUACUGCCAUUGUGUCUUGUGGGUGUUUGACCUUAUGUCACGAUGGGAACAUCAUGUGUUCGGCAGAGCAGAAGCCUGAAGCCCUGAACAAAACAUGUUAGUUCAUUGGUGGCCAUUGACAUAAGCCAUCGGAACAAAUGGCUGUUGCACUAUAGCGGCAAGUAGUCGAGGUCAUGAUAUUUUGCACUUCAGACCGUCAGUAGAGCCAUACUAAUACAUCUUUUUGGGUGGAGUUCAAUUUUGAGGAUAGGAAAACGAGAUCUUAUAUACAGAUAAUGAGAUAAAUGUGUAGUUGUCACUUCAAUUUAAUUUAGUCAAAUAUAUAUAAGCAGGUCGCUACCUUCAUUGUCCAAAAGAUUCUACUGAAUGAUAUUGGACAGCGUUACGUCUGUGUAGAAGUAGCUUGUGUGGUGUCGGUGUAGUUUCAACCUUCCGGAAAAAGUAAAUGUUGUGUUGUGUGUGUCAAAACAUCAACAAGAGCUCAAGCUGGUUUGCUUAUCCAGUAAUACUAUGAACACAAGCAAAGCAAGCAAGAGCUCAAGCUGGUUUGCUUAUCCAGUAAUACUAUGAACACAAGCAAAGCAAGCUAUUUUCUGUUUUCUUUUUCCUGAUAUUGCAGUGGAAAUGUUUUUUUUUGCUAUCAAGGUUGAACGUCUACUAGGGAAGUACAGGCACAUUAUGUGGAUCCAAUUCUGAACAGUUAAAAUGUGAAAUAAUGCCUUUUCAAGUCCUUGAACUAAACUCAGUUCCCUCAGACAGACCAAUCUCAUCAAACUGAAACUCAGUUUCCUCUCAAAGCAUGCCACCACCUUUGCUUUGCUGUUGUUUUGGAAUUAUUUCAAUAUGGGUGAGUUCUUUUUUGUAAUUUUACUUUGUAUGUUGGCAACUAAUUGUUUUAAUUGAUUAUUGUUCUUUUAUGAAAUUGAGCGGAAAGAAAAAUACAAAGAAAAAAAUGUUUAGCUAAAUAGGCAAAGCCGCUGAGCGGCUACCAAGUUUAAUACAUUACUCAGUUAUUAUGGAUUUGAGUUAGUGGAAUGGUUGGUGAUGUUUAGUUGGUAGCCACUCAGGGGCUCAAGGCCACUCUAUAUUGUUUAAUUUGAGAAUUUACCAGUGAUGUAUUAAACUUCAUACAAAAUUCAAUGUUUUUUGGUGACUGUUAGAUAGAGACAUGAAUUUUGGGAUGGCAUUCAGUCAAGUACUUGUGUUCUUCAUUUUAUGAAAUCCUCAAUAAGUCUUACCUUUUGUUGGAAGUGCAAGUUCUUAUCAUACAUGCUUGUUCAACAAUAAAGUUCCUGAAAAAACGCAAACAUUUUCGACGCGCACAUGGUUUUAAAUGGGUCUCUGCGCCAUUUGGCGCAACGGGUGAUGAUAUAUACUUAUAUGCCCAUUAUCGAUUUAUAGCUUUUUUUCUCUGCCAAUGUUAUGUUCAUAACUGCUAUUAUUUAACAUUUUUCAUUUAUAUCCCAAAGGUGCGCAUGUAUACUUUGUUCCUUACAUACAUGCGUAAUUAUGAAAAUCAUUAAAGAAGUGUUUCGGUUAUGUAGAACUGCAUGAGUUUGCUGGGCAUGGAUGGCAGUUUGUGUUAUCCAGUAAGCUUGGGAGGGUCUACCUAGGAAAGGUUGUGACCAGAAAAAGGAGCUUGUGGCAAAUGAGAUCAUCCAAAGACUUGAAAAAAGGUUGUUUCUUGGUCUUCUAGACUUGGUAGUCCUCAAGGGCAUCCUUCUAUGUUUGGAUUCUAAAAAUAUUUUGAGUUAAUUCAUUAGACUACUUCAUGCUUUCACUUGGAAUUGCUAGCUAGCAGUGGCGGAGCUUCACCCAAAUUGCUGGGCGGGCCAGUGGAGCCUAGCUGAAGGAAAUUACUACUACGCUGUUAUUCGAUGUCCAAGUAAAUAGGUAAACAUUACAGAAAUUUGCAUUGGUUGGGCGGGCCAGGGCAUAGGUUGGCCCAGUCGUAGCUCCGCCACUGCUGGCUAGUAGUCCUCGAAAUGACAAGGGAGCAUGAGAAGUCUGUUGUAAUUGACAGUGUAUACAUGAUCAGCCUAUUGAUGAUGCAGUACUUAAUAUUAUGAUUAUCUGGUUUACUUGUUGUAUUUUAUUGCGCAUACUAGACCACCAUGCAUCCCCAACCAGGUAAAAAUGUUAUAUCAGGGGGCUUUCAUGAGCUACUUGCACAAUCCUUUAAGCUAUGUUGUGAACUUUAGUGGCCUUAUUUAAGAUUUGUAGGUUGCAGUGUCUUGUGAUGAUUCCAUCAGAAAUCAAAGCUUUAAAUUGGGCUCAUUUGCAGAGCGGAAAUAUAGAGAAUGGACAUCUCAAGGGAAGGAACAUGCCCAAUAUAAUGGCCAAAGAAGGAAUGGAAAUGAGGCUGUAAUAUCAUCUUUGUUCCCAUUUCUUUCAGGAAGUCACAGCUAGGAGUGGGCUAUAAUAUCUCUUUUUUGUUCGGGAAGGAACGUGCUGAAUAUGACCGCCAGUAGCCCUUUUAUCUUUCUCUGAAAGAACUAUGAGCUAGCGUUAGAUUCUUUUCCUGGUACAUAGUUGGUAUGUACAAUUAUCACACAAUAAUGAUCACCAAUGUUUACAUUGUUUGAAUCAUUAACCCAUAUGAUUUCCACUGAUGCA